rnacentral:rRNA from 1 species
UACGGGGGGGGUAAGCGUUGUUCGGAAUUACUGGGCGUAAAGGGCUCGUAGGCGGCCAACUAAGUCAUACGUGAAAUCCCUCAGCUUAACUGGGGAACUGCGUCUGAUACUGGAUGGCUUGGAUUCGGGAGAGGAAUGCGGAAUUCCAGGUGUAGCGGUGAAAAUGCGUAGAUAUCGGGAGGAACACCAGUGGCGAAGGCGCCCACUCUGGGCCGAAACUGACGCUGAGGAGCGGAAAGCAUGGGUAGCAAACAGGG